UACAGAGGGUGCGAGCGUCGUUCGGAAUUAUUGGGCGUAAAGCGCGUGUAGGCGGCGUCGCAAGUUGGGUGUGAAAGCCCUCGGCUUAACCGAGGAAGUGCGCCCAAAACUACGAUGCUUGAGUACCGGAGAGGGUGGUGGAAUUCUCGGUGUAGAGGUGAAAUUCGUAGAUAUCGGGAGGAACACCAGUGGCGAAGGCGACCACCUGGACGGCUACUGACGCUGAGACGCGAAAGCGUGGGGAGCAACAGG
rnacentral:rRNA from 1 species